UACAGAGGGUGCAAGCGUUAUUCGGAAUUACUGGGCAUAAAGAGCGCGUAGGCGGUCUGAUAAGUCCGAUGUGAAAGCCCUGGACUCAAUCCAGGAAGUGCAUCGGAUACUGUCAGACUAGAGUACAGGAGGGGAGAGCGGAAUUCCUGGUGUAGCGGUGAAAUGCGCAGAUAUCAGGAGGAACACCGGUGGCGAAGGCGGGUCUCUGGGCCGAUACUGACGCUGAGGAGCGAAAGCGUGGGGAGCGAACAGG
rnacentral:rRNA from 1 species